GCGCUGUUAGCUCAAUGGUUUAGAGCAAUCGGCUUUUAACCGAUAGGUUCCGGGUUCGAGUCCCGGGCGGCGUA
rnacentral:tRNA from 1 species